UAUAUACAAUUUUGUAUUGGCAAAGCAUAAACUAAUCACGACUAUGUAUUUUAUAUCAGACUAAGCGGACUAGAAGAAUUUAUCUCCAAACAAUUACUUCUCUGUUUCUUUGUCUUCUUAUUGCUCCUAAAAGUUUUACAUAUAAGAUUUACUGCUCUUUGUAUUCAAGUCUUCUUCUGGAGACUUCUGGUCUUCAGAGUUUCUGGAGGUUCUUUUUCCUUGAGAUUUCUGAUCUCCAGAAGUUCUGGAGGUUCUUCCUUCUGGAAACUUCUGGUCUCCAGAAGUUCUGGAGGUUCUUCCUUCUGGAAACUUCUGGUCUCCAGAAGUUCUGGAGGUUCUUCCCUCUGGAAACUUCUGGUCCCCAGAAGUUCUGGAAGUUCUUUCUUCUGAAAACUUUUGGUCUCCAGAAGUUCUGGAGGUUCUUUCUUCUGGUUCAUCUUCUUUUGGAGACUGAACUUGCUCUACAUCAGUAGUUUGUUCAUCUCUGACUGGUUCUUCCUCAGGAAUUAAAUCGUACAAGUUAGUCCCAUCAUCAGAGGACUCUUCUCCUGGAAUUUCUUGAUCAUCAAAAUACAAAACACUUUCAUGCUGACCUUCU